rnacentral:rRNA from 1 species
AGCUCGUGUCGUGAGAUGUUGGGUUAAGUCCCGCAACGAGCGCAACCCUUGUCUUUAGUUGCCAUCAUUAAGUUGGGCACUCUAGAGAGACUGCCAGGGAUAACCUGGAGGAAGGUGGGGAUGACGUCAAAUCAUCAUGCCCCUUAUGCUUAGGGCUACACACGUGCUACAAUGGGUAGUACAGAGGGUUGCCAAGCCGUAAGGUGGAGCUAAUCCCUUAAAGCUACUCUCAGUUCGGAUUGUAGGCUGAAACUCGCCUACAUGAAGCUGGAGUUACUAGUAAUCGCAGAUCAGAAUGCUGCGGUGAAUGCGUUCCCGGGUCUUGUACACACCGCCCGUCACACCACGGGAGUUGGAGACGCCCGAAGCCGACUAUCUAACCUUUUGGAAGAAGUCGUCGAAGGGGGAAUCAAUAACUGGGGUGAAGUCGUAACAAGGUAGCCGUAUCGGAAGGUGCGGCUGGAUCACCUCCUUUCUAAGGA